UGCCAGACUCCUACGGGAGGCAGCAGUGGGGAAUAUUGGGCAAUGGGCGCAAGCCUGACCCAGCAACGCCGUGUGAAGGAAGAAGGCUUUCGGGUUGUAAACUUCUUUUCUCAGGGACGAAUAGAUGACGGUACCUGAGGAAUAAGCCACGGCUAACUACGUGCCAGCAGCCGCGGUAAUACGUAGGUGGCAAGCGUUAUCCGGAUUUACUGGGUGUAAAGGGCGUGUAGGCGGGGACGCAAGUCAGAUGUGAAAACCACGGGCUCAACCUGUGGCCUGCAUUUGAAACUGUGUUUCUUGAGUACUGGAGAGGCAGACGGAAUUCCUAGUGUAGCGGUGAAAUGCGUAGAUAUUAGGAGGAACACCAGUGGCGAAGGCGGCUUGCUGGGCUUUUACUGACGCUGAGGCUCGAAAGCGUGGGGAGCAAACAGGAUUAGAUACCCGGGUA
rnacentral:rRNA from 1 species